rnacentral:ncRNA from 1 species
UAGUAAUCGCCGGUCAGCCAUACGGCGGUGAAUCCGUUCCCGGGCCUUGUACACACCGCCCGUCACACUAUAGGAGCUGGCCAUGUUUGAAGUCAUUACCCUUAACCGUAAGGAGGGGGAUGCCUAAGGCUAGGCUUGCGACUGGACAAUAUCGGUCAGCCAGAGACCACCGGUUACUGGAUCUAGUCCUCC